rnacentral:rRNA from 4 species
CGCGUGGGGGAGAGGCUCUUGGGUUGUAAACCCCUUUUCUCUGGGAAGAAAGUUGUGAAAGCAACCUGACGGUACCAGAGGAAUCAGCAUCGGCUAACUCCGUGCCAGCAGCCGCGGUAAGACGGAGGAUGCAAGCGUUAUCCGGAAUGAUUGGGCGUAAAGCGUCCGCAGGUGGCAGUUCAAGUCUGCUGUCAAAGACCGGGGCUUAACUUCGGAAAGGCAGUGGAAACUGAACAGCUAGAGUAUGGUAGGGGCAGAGGGAAUUCCUGGUGUAGCGGUGAAAUGCGUAGAGAUCAGGAAGAACAUCGGUGGCGAAGGCGCUCUGCUGGACCAUAACUGACACUCAGGGACGAAAGCUAGGGGAGCGAAUGGGAUUAGAUACCCCUAG